UUUGCUGAUUCAUUUCUUUAGGAACCUUACUAUGUACGUUGCAUCAAACCCAAUGACAAGAAAUCCCCGCAGGUAUUUGAUGAUGAGCGCUGCCGGCAUCAGGUUGAGUACCUUGGACUAUUGGAAAACGUGAGGGUGCGACGGGCAGGAUUUGCCUUCCGCCAGGCAUACGAGAAGUUUCUGCACAGGUACAAGAUGAUCUCAGAAUUCACCUGGCCCAACCACGACCUCCCUUCAGACAAAGAGGCUGUGAAGAAACUGAUCGAACAGUGUGGCUUUCAGGAAGACGUGGCUUACGGGAAGACCAAGAUUUUCAUCCGCACUCCCCGCACGCUGUUUACCUUGGAGGAGCUCCGCGCCCAGAUGCUCCUGAGGAUCGUCCUCUUUCUCCAAAAGAUACUGCUAAUAAGAAACUCCUGCCACCCCUUCCCCAGCCCACUUCCCUGUAAGUUGGAAACAGACGAUCUGUUGCCCGGGUGAUAUCUCAUUACUAAGGCAACCAAUUUGGUGCAUCAGUGUGAAUCCCAGUUUUAAAAUCUGCCAGAUAGCUCA